rnacentral:lncRNA from 1 species
CUCUGUGGUAUCCUCCUCCGUAUACACCACCACGACGUACUCCUCCACUGUCACAUCCUUUACUUCAUCUUCAUCUCCUGCGAGAAAAGAGAGAAUUUGUUACAAACAAAUGCACGAGGUUUGACGAAAAUAAUACUUACCAAGUUCCAAAUCUUCUUUGCUGAUAUCAACCAACUUCUUUUCUUUGUAGAUUUGUAAAUUCUGAAUUGCAACCUCAUCAACCAAGUAUGGAACCUACCAUUCGAAAAGCCAGCAGUAAGAAAACAAAUCAAACCAGAAUCAUGUGCCAAGACAAUAUCUUUUCAAGAUGAAAACC